rnacentral:tRNA from 1 species
GUGGCAGAUAAAUGCAAAGAUUUUAAGAGUCUUUUAAGAAAAAUUUUUUUCC